rnacentral:lncRNA from 1 species
UCGGAAUAAGUAUUCGAAGCUGGAUGUUGAAGCAGUAGAAUGACCAGUGACAGGUCUAGUUCUAGGAUCUUAAGCAACAGAACCUGCCGAACAAGACUCUCGGGGAACUUUAGGAAUCGCUUGCUGGUCGACGAAAACAGGAAUUGUGAAUCUACUGCUUGCCCUUAUGGACAAGUUGUUCCUGAUUUAUAGUCCGAUAACACUCACUUAAC